rnacentral:rRNA from 1 species
GUGGGGGAGGCGGAAUAGAGGAGACACGAGGGAGGAGAGGGUGCAGCUGUGGGAGCUCGGGCGUGGGGGAGACGGAACAGAGGAGUGGCGAGGGAGGAGAGUUUGCAGUGCGGUAGCUACGCAGCAGUCCCUGUGGCAGCUGUGCAGCCCCUAUGCGGCGUUACCUCGAGUCUAUUCUCGUCCCGUCGCCUAACCUAGCUCCCGUGGGCUACUGGAGCGGCGGCGACAGUGGACCUAAACGAUCGGUGGCGCACCUCAGAGGGACCGGCGGCGGAGCUCAGUGGAGGCAGUGGCGGCGCUCAGUCGAGGUGAAAACGACGGUCCUUAGAGCAGGGGCCGUUCCUUUUAAGGAUCCCUAAACUGACUGCCUCCGUAGUCAUAGACCGUAACAGGUUCUUCGGUAACCACCCCAACCUAGUCGAUCCAGCAUCUGGAGACUAACGAAUCCGGGGUACCGUCGUCGGCCUAACCCCGCCGCCACCUACCGGUACCUCCCACACCCACGUACGCCCGCCUUGGUUGUACCCAACCACCUCAUUGCCUACGCCCGUCCCAGUCGCCAAUCCCCGUGACGCUCCUCACCUUCCGUCGCCAGUACGUGGUCUAGCCUCGACGUCAUCGUUACUCGACGACCACAAAGUCCAAACGGAGUUACCGGAAGUCGAGGUCGGGGCUGGGCCUAUCACGGUACCUAGGUCGUUCCACCAGGUGCGACUCCUUCUCCUUUUGUUGCUCCCUUCUUCGGCCACAAGAAUACCAAAUAAGAGGACAGCUAAAGGGGAGAACGGAACAGACUAAAACACCACUUUUCUUACCACCUAAAGAAACGACCCACCAGAUUAAACCCCAACUAAAUACGGGAGUUAAGGAAGGAAAAGACCAAGGAAAGGCCGAACGAUAAGUACAGCAAGGUUACCGACCUUCUUUCCCCUGUGUUAUAUCGAACAAUGUUUAGUAAAGUUUUAAAGGAACUUUCUGUGGUAUCUACUCAAGAAAGUAGUAAUAAAACAUACCUAGAUAGAAACAAAUGAAACAAAAAAUCAAGGUACACAUUGGUAGUCUACGAAAACGAGAAAAUAAAUUAACUUACGUGCAUAUAGACUACAUAAUCCUGCUCUCCGGUCACCUACCUUUUCCGCAACGGACCAGACUAAAACACCACUUUUGUUACCACCUAAAGAGACGACCCACCAGAUUAAACCCAAACUAAAUACGGGAGCUAAGGAAGGAAAAUACCAAGGAAAGACCGAACGAUAAGUACAAGAACGUUACCGACCUUCUUUCUCCUGUGUUAUGUCGAACAAUGUUUAGUAAGGUUUCAAAGGAACUUUCUGUGGUAUCUACUCAAGAAAGUAGUAAUAAAACAUACCUAGAUAGGAACAAAUGAAACAAAAAAUCAAGGGACACAUUGGUAGUCUACGGUAACGAGAAAAUAAAUUAACUUACGUCCAUAUAUCCUCCAUAAUCCUACUCUCCAGUCACCUACCUUUUCCGCAACCAUGUUUUCAGUAACCGUUUGAUAUUAUCCGAAUACGUAGACUCUAAGGAUACUACCGCUUUUUCACUGUUCUGUAACUUACACCUUGUAAUGUCUCUUUACUAACUGUCAAACUGUCUUCAUAAUAUACUCAAAGCCUGCUGUUCCAGCGCAUACCUCAUGAAAGUGACAAUUCAAAGGUAACGGGUCGAGGACUUCAGACAAUAACGGCAAUAGAAGAACCCUCAUGAACUCUUCCGCACCGACCCUUACACCCCUGUGCGGUACCGUCUCCGCGCACCAACCGUCCUCCUCAGUCCCUCCGUACUUCCACCUGUACACCUACAAUAGCACCGUAACUGUGUAAAGAGAGGUGGCUACGAUGUAUGGUCCCUAAGCAACCUUCGGUGUGUCCCGUGGACUCUUCCUCUCCUCCUCUUACGAGACUUCUCUCCUCUACUAUUCAAAAUAACAAAACAAAAUUCUCGUUCCCUCAACUAUACAUCAGGGGACCGAAUAAACAUAAGAUGAUACACAUACCGGUUUCUUAAGUACUAAAAUAUGUGUGUAUAUAAAAAUUUGUUUUCGGAUAUAUAAAAAACGAGUUUGUAUCAGUGGCCUUCGCGUGUAUAAAAGUUACGCA